CCUACGGGUGGCAGCAGUGGGGGAUAUUGCACAAUGGGGGAAACCCUGAUGCAGCGACGCCGCGUGGGUGAAGAAGUAUUUCGGUAUGUAAAGCCCUAUCAGCAGGGAAGAAAGAAGACGGUACCUGACUAAGAAGCCCCGGCUAACUACGUGCCAGCAGCCGCGGUAAUACGUAGGGGGCGAGCGUUAUCCGGAUUCACUGGGUGUAAAGGGAGCGUAGACGGCCGUGCAAGCCAGGAGUGAAAGCCCGGGGCCCAACCCCGGGACUGCUCUUGGAACUGUGCGGCUGGAGUGCGGGAGGGGCAGGCGGAAUGCCUGGUGUAGCGGUGAAAUGCGUAGAUAUCAGGAGGAACACCGGCGGCGAAGGCGGCCUGCUGGACCGCGACUGACGUUGAGGCUCGAAAGCGUGGGGAGCGAACAGGAUUAGAUACCCGGGUAGUC
rnacentral:rRNA from 1 species